AUCCAGAUGGUGAGUCUCAAAUAGAACGAAAUGCACAUCCUGGAU
rnacentral:hammerhead_ribozyme from 1 species